GUUCUGCUUUUUGCUACCUCUCUAGCAGCACCAAAACGCAAGUCGGUCGAAUAGAAUCCCGGAACACCGUGAAAAAUGGGAUCUCCGGAGAUCUUUGAUCCCUUCUACGGGGCGGAUAUUUUUGAUCCGGAUAACAUUGUAGAAUUCGCGAAGUAGGCAUAAACGAACCGGCUGGAAGCGCAUCUGAUCAUGUGUAACGAAGACGAUGGAAGAGGAUACAGAUUUUUUCGAGUUCAUUUGCAAUUCAACGAGGACUUGGCCUACCGACAUAUACAGUGACUAAAGGGCUUGGCCGGCAAAGUAUCAAUUGUAAAACCGGACUGAUUCAGGAAACGCUACGACGUCAGUAAAAGGUGGACCAAAAAUGCAUCUCGCCGACGGGUGGAUUUUCGAAAUGUGCACCGGAUUAUGUGUUGACAAGGCCCGUGUGUGUGGCAUCCAAACGUUUGGUUUUUCAUGACGGUGGAUGAACCGGUCGAUCAAAGGCAACGGCUCUGCGUUCUACUACGAUCGGGACAAAUCCGGUCGGGCGCGAAUUGAGGAUUUUCAGAUACAUAGUUCUAUCGCCGCGGGCGGUUGUUAACGGGGAAAUUUUCGCCAAGGUUGAAAAGCAGAAAAUCGUCCGAGCGUUGCACAUCAUCGAUGUCGGGAAAUUUCGCGGCCUACCACUCGACAAAACGUCCUCUGCAGCAAGUUCGCCAAGGCCAUGAAUCGA